AGACAACAUUACAUCGUGAAAUCCAGCUUUACACCACAGCGUGACCCGGUUCUGUGAGGAAUUCUGUUCAGGAGGUCGCAUUUCAGGCUCUCCACAUCAUAUGUGACUGACUUUUACGUUAUAAUAACGAUCACACACUAGGAAUGUUAUAAAGCGCCUAUAUCUGACAGUUUCUUUUGUAUAUUAUCUGACUUUAUAAACUCUAACAACAAUGUGCUUCUAUUUUUUUUUUCAGGCUAAAUCUACCCAAGACAUUGGCUGUCAGACUGAUUUAGUAGUCUGCAAGAAUGCACUUGUCCAGGCUGACGUGAAGCCUUACCCGUAGCAAAGGUGAAUAAUUUUUAAUAAUCUUCUAUGUAAACAUUUUAUUAUCACCUUCUAGUUUUAAUUUGUUUUACAGAUUAUUGUUACAUGUGAUUUUAUGCUCUUUUAAACAUUUGUAAAUGUGCUGUUUCUUUGUUUUUUACAUGGCCGCCCAGUUUAGAGCUCUCAGCCACAGUGUGUCUGGUGACACAGGGACCAUGACGGAAAUUAAUAUUCCAGAAAUUCCCAGAGCAGCGUCCACACCCCUGAAAAGACCAAGAUGUGAGGUGUCUGCUGUUGAUUCCAGCUUCCACCUCAAUGACAGUGCAAGCUCAGUGAACUGUUCAAGGAGGCUACUAAUUCUGCCCGUGACACUUGGUGGUGACGUGUGAGCUGAUUCACCUGGACACUCAGCAAAAUAUGGACUCUACACCAUGAGGCAGGCACACGUUAAUACUCUAUAAGAGCACAUAAGCAUGAGGAUGUCCUCACACACCUGUAACCUAUCAGCUCAUCUGGCAGAAUAGAGGGAGAAGAGACAACACCACAUCUCCUGUUCCUGGAAAGCCUUCAGCCAUCCUUCGAUGACUGAGAACCUCCAUCAGCUCUGUCUCCUGUCUGCCUACAAUUAUUAUAAUAAAUAAUGUGUUUGACAAGUUUUUUGUGCUGCCAAAUG